AUGCUGUGCCUGCACACCACACACACACUCUCUCAAGGUAAGGAGGCAAGUUCUGACUUUUUUAGUCUAGAGGAGGCACUCGGCUGCAGGCAGGCAGACAUCCACACUGGGCCUACACACCACACUUACAUUCUCUCUUUCCAAGCCAAGGAGGCAAGUUCUGACAUUCUUACUCUAGAGGAGACAGGCAGGAGCCCGUGCUGUGCCUGCACACCACACACACUCUCUCUCAAGGUAAGGAGGCAAGUUUUGACUUUCUUAGUCUAGAGGAGGCACUCGGCUGCAGGCAGACAUCCACAGGGCCCUACACACCACACAUACACUCUCUCUUUCCAAGGCAAGGAGGCAAGUUCUGACAUUCUUACUCUAGAGGAGGCGCUCCACUGCAGGCAGGAGCCCGUGCUAGGCCUGCAGACCACACACACACUCUCUCAAGGCAAGGAGGCAAGUUUUGACUUUCUUACUCUAGAGGAAGCACUCGGCUGCAGGCAGGUAUCUGCCCUGGUUCUACACACCACACACACACUCUCUCUUUCCAAGGCAAGGAGGCACGAAGCAGCAUGUGCUCACGAAUGCACAGGAAGAGCCAAUGAUUGUCUCCUGCUUGUUUUUAUGUUGAGAUGAUUUUCGUAGUGAGGGCCUUCCCGUUACAUGUUCCCGAAGGUAACAAAAGUAAUGAAAGAACAGAUGAAACAAAGAAAAACAGUCCAAUGCACAACUCUAUUAUCCAACUAUUUUUUUGAUGUUGACUGUCUGGCCUUGUUUAUAACCAAGGUUGACUGGAUAAUCUGACCAGCUAUUCAGGGGUUCCUGUCCUUCCUUAUCCAAACAAGCAACUUUUCUAAACUCUAUCUAAUCUCAUUUCAGACCAGGCAUCAGGUAAUUGAAUGGUGUUUGGUCAUAGCCACAAUUUCAAGCAACCACCAUCUGACCAGGAGCAUAUCCUUUCCUCUCUCUGGGAUGGUCAUCCUCUUCCACUGAAACUGGAUAUGACACCAUUAAGUUGCCAGACUUCUACUUUGAAAUAAGAUUAGAACAGUUGCAAUUUUAAACAAUAACUUGCCCAGGAAGAAUUGGUGUUACAUCAGAAUUUACCAUUCUGUAAUCAAUGGUCUGAAACCCGUUGGUUUAUCUCAACUGGAGAGAACCUAUUGACACAGUUGGAGAGGAAACCAGUGAGUCAACACUUCAGUAAAUCUCCUAAUUUACUCUAGUUAGGAUUAGGAUUUAGCACAUCGAGUCUCUUUCUGCCCACUGGAACAGCUACAUAAUAUAAUGUCAUGCCUUUUCUUUAACCUUGGCUGGAUUCAACCAGUUUGACAGGUUGUCCAAAAACAGCCAAGGACCAUGAAAUCAAGUCCAAGGGAUGAGCCACGAGAACAAGAAUGCAGGCGUGUGUUCCUUGAAAUAAUUAAGAACAAAUGAGGAUGUGAAAGGGCGGGGAAGAAAACACAAGAAAGAACAACCCAUAAUCAAAUGAUUCAAGGUGAGAGCCGUGCCCAUGAAAAGCUGGUUCAGUGGCUUCUCUGAUGUCUACCAGGAAACUCAUUCCUGGGGUCGGUCGGGACAUUUCCUUCUCAGUUCACUGCUUCCCUAAGGGAGACUCACAGGGCUUGGAAGAUACGUGCCAAUUACAUGGAAAAUGAGAAAAAAAUAGGCAGUAAAUAGACAAUUAAUGUCAUCUUCAAGCCAAGCAAGGUUUGCAAGGAUAUACUGUUGUGCAGUGGUUUGAAUAUCAGACUACAAGUCUGGAGACCAAGGCUCGAUUCUCUACUCAAACAAGGAUAGGCAUUGGGUGACAUUGAGUCACAUAUUUAGGGUCACAAUUAGUCAGAAAAAACAGUAUGACAUGUGAUGGAUCAUAUGAGCCAGAUCAAAAGCAUCUGUCUUUCUAGCAAGGGUAUGAAGCAGUAGUUCCCAAGCAUUUUUUGCCCAGGUACCACUCUCCAACAUUAGUACCAAAAGGGUUACGAAUCAGUUUUUGGUCAACUUUGGAUUUGGUUUGAUUAUUUGGGGUGCUGAUUCAGAAAAUUGCAUUGGAUAGACCACAUCAGCUCUAGUUUCUAUUCCAGAACAUAUGCCAUCCAGUAGUCGCCAUCUGCUCACCCACAGAAAACCAUGUUUAAUAAUCUAGAGAUGAUGAAUUUCAGUGAAAUUUUCUGAAUCAGCACCCCAAAUAACCCCAGGAAUAGGCCUAAAAAUGAAGACAACAAGACAUCCCCGCUUCCAGGCGCCACAUGGAACGGCUCCACUCAAGGGGAGGGAGGAGGAGGAGAAGCAGCAGUCAGGAGGCUCGUCGCACCUUUCGUGGGUAGUCAGCCUCUGCCCUCCUGACAUUCUCAUUGCCUGGGCACUAUAAGAGAGUUUCGCAAGACCAGUAGCUCUCGUUGCAGCUGUAUAGUAAUGGUGAGGCUGUGGACCAUUUUGUCAAGGAACUUUCCAUGCAAUGUUUUGUUGUGCCAGCUGUCAGCUCUAGUUUGUAGUGCGGUUUUCUUGUACUGGUUUUUUGUCUGCUGUGUUUUGAGGAGUUUCUGAUUUUUGACUUCAAUCAAAGCAGGUUCUUCGCUUUGCUUUCCAUAUUCUGCCAGGGCCUGUUCUUCUUCUUCAACUGCUUGUUUUACUUGUAAGAGUCCUCUGACCCCUGAUCUUCUAGGCAGAUAUAGCUGGUCAACAUCACUGCGAGGGUGCAGU
ensembl:lncRNA